AGCAGGCAUCCAGUCAGGAGUGGUGUCCAGGCCCUGUGGAGCCUAGCAGUGCACGCAGCUGCAGGGGAGAGGUGGAGGAUGGCUGCCAUGGUGCUGACUGAACCACAAAACCCUUCUGUUCUUCACCCAGAACUCAAGCAGCUACUUCUGUGGCUUUCUCAGAGAAAGUAAGCGUCUGCAUCCAUUGUCCACUUCUAUGAGUGUGUGGUGGCCGGUGGCUGGGAAGGAGAUAUGCAGCUGUAUCUUGUCAUUGUCAACCUACAUUAAAACAAAGCAGAUGUUGAUCUUAA
rnacentral:lncRNA from 1 species